AUGGCUGAAGAUCAAGAUCCUGCUGUUGCCAUGAUUAACAGGGCUAACGAAAUCCGAGGUUUUGCUGACCAGCUUCCCCUAUGGGGUGAAUUCGUUCAAACCGAACCCCUACGGAGGGAGUUCGUCUUUAGGAACGUUAACAUUGCACAGUUCUCUGAUGGCUUCAACAAUGCUGCAUUGGUUAAUGGAGCACGAGUGUUAUGCCAUGGUCGGCAAGGCAACAUCCCUGUAGCGGAUCAAACUCUUCUAUUGGCAACAAUAGGCGAGGCGAUCUUUCCUAACCUUAGAAAUAAACGUCUCCCUGAAGCUGAAGCAAGAGAAUUGCUUAGGCUCUCUGUGUCUCAAACUCUUGAAUUUCCAGACCCUGAUGUUGUUGCAGAGAUUAGAAGAAAAGCCGUUGAGCUUUAUCCUAAUCCCGCAGAUGAUCCUGCUAUAGAGCAAGCAAUCAGAGAAGGUAGUGCUAACAAUGCAAUGGCAAUCUUGGUGUCUGGAAUGAAUGAGCAUAAGAGAAAAUACCCGAAUUUCGGUACAGAGCUUUUGCUUCACACGGUGCUGGCUAUAGUGAAGACUGGAGAAUGCACCAACGAAUUUCUCACUAAGGUGGCUGAAGGCUGCAUGAUGUUUGGAUACAGAAUUCAGCUAGAUAAAGAACUAAUCAAGGUCACUUACCUUACUUUCGGCGAAUACUUGAAUAGCCGUGAUGUUGGGUCAAUGAUUGCUUAUUGGAAAACCUUGAUCUCAAACAAGUGCCUAAGAAUCAAGCUUACAGUAGAACAAGCUGAUUGGCACAAUCUGACAAGCUACUCAAGCAUUAAAUCAGCCCUGAGUCUUCACAAAAAUUUCUAUUGGGUCAACUUGUUUGGUCUUCAUACUUAUUAUGCUCACGUAGGUCGCUUCAAAAUUGCCUUUGAUCUGAUUCGAGAUGACAAGUACUUCGGUUUCAAUAAUGAUCUAGGUGCUGAAUCUUCUACCCAAUACAAAGAUCUAGCAGGAGCCUGUAUACUUCUUUUGAUCAAGGCUGACAAUGAGAAAGGGCUUAGACGCUACAAAGGUAUGGCAAAUCGAAUCAACAACUUUGCCUAUGUGAGAUUUCUUAUCCGUCAGUAUAUGAAGCCUUCUGUCACGAAAGCUCAAGGAGCAGAAAUUAACGAUGAGAAGAAACAGGCUACAGUUGAUGAUUUAUUGCCUGUAAGUCCCGGAUUUACGGUGAAUCAUGUCCAAGUUUGCGGAAAAGCCUUCAAGCCUGGUGAUGAUUCUGACUCUGACGAAGAGUGA
rnacentral:lncRNA from 1 species